GGGGGGAGGGGGAGAGAGAAAGAAAGAGAGAGAGAAGAGAGAGAGAGAGAGAGAGAGAUCGUCAAUCUGUUGGUUCACUCUCAAAAAUGGCUACAAUAGCCAGAGCUGGGCCAUGUGAAAGCUGGGAGCCAGGAGCUUCCUCUUGGUCUCCCACAAGGGUGCAGGGGCCCAAGCAUUUGGGUCAUCUUCCGCUGCUUUCCCAGGUUCAUUGGCAGAGAGUUGGAUCAGAAGUGGGUUAGCCGGGACCUGAACCAGCAGGUUCAGGUGGGCUACUGCACUACAGCCCUGCCCCCUGAGCUUCCUCCAGGUCUCCCAUGCAGGGUCAGAGGCCCCAGCACUUGGGCCAUCUUGUACUGCUUUCCCAGACCAUAGCAGAGAGCUGGAUCAGAAGAGGAGCAGCCAGGUCUUGAACCGGUGGACAUAUGGGCCAGCACUGAAGGCGGCGGCUUUUCCUGCUGUACCACAGCACCAGCCCAGACUAAAUUCUCUCUUUAAGAAGCAGAGGGAGAUGAUUUGGAGAAAUGGAGGAAAGUUGAAGGCAAAUCUGAUCAGAGGACACACUUUGUUCUUGAAGAAAGGGGUCUCACGUUGGUGUCCAUGCAGACAGAUUUUGACAGGCUAUAAAGAUAAUUUACUCUUGUUUUGACACUUGGAGAAUGCCCUUGAUUCAUUCAAGGCUUUAACACAAUCUUUGAAGGUUGGAUCCCUUGUUUCAGUACCAUGCUGUGCUUCAUGUGAGUAGCAAUUUUGGGUUGAGUUCUUAUACCUUACACCCUGGAAAGAAAAAAAGAGACAAUUUUUUUUUCAGUAAAAAUAUGGUAAUCUACAAAAUGAACAAUUGGAAGUGUUAGGAUGAAACUGAAGUAUGUUCUUUUGUGAUGUGGAGACUUUAUGUGGUCUAAAUCACAAUAUUAACCUUUUAAAAUCCAUUUUAUGAAGAUAUAUAUCUUAUCAAAAAUACGUUGCCUUUUCCUUGGGUGUAAUGUGACUAUUUACAUUUCAGAAACCACAGUUACCUAAUGGGCUUUUGCUAUGUAGGUCUUGUGAAAGAGGAGAAUUUUUGCUAAGGUUAUCCCAAUCUCCUUGCAUUUUUUGAGGAUUAGUAAUUGACUGGUAGGUAAGUAAUACUCAUGGAAAGCUAAGUGCACACUGAAUUUAUAAAGCUAUUGCAUUAAAAAAAAAAAAACAAAACAAAAAAAAAACAAAAAAAAAACACACAGGGGCAGGCGUAGAAUCAAAGGGCUGUUGUGUUUGCUUCCAGGGAUUUGCACCUUAUCAGUAUUAUCAAGGAAGGCACAGGACUGGAAUACCAAAUGACACGUCAAACCCUCAGCUCAGAGGCGGUGUUGGAAAUGAAAAUCCUUGCUUCCUCAGGAAUCUGGGCUCCAGCUCUCCUGUCAUUGCCCUGCACUUUUCCAAAUGUUAAGAAAGUAAAAUUGAAAUAAUAUCCAGUGUCACUGGUGCCCAAGAUAACAAUGUCAAUACAGAAGAAUCACUAUCCACAUAAAGUCUGGCUCCAUAUAUUUUAUGACAAAGUCAGGAGAGCAGAGUAGCUCAGGAAAUAUGACAUAUAACUUUGAUGACAUACUCAAUACUAAGAAAAAUAUAUUACAUAUUCUUAAACUAUUGCAGAGAUGGGGGUUCAGAAUGCUUUUGAAGUACUUAUGGUUGUUGACUGUAAGGUAGUCCAAACAGAUAGAUGGGUUUUCCUACUAAUAAAUGUUUCCUUUUCCUUUUCAGUGGGCAAUGAUGUUGACUCUUAGAUGGCUGAGGAUGUCUGCUUUCUAGAAUGUCAGAUUAUAAUAAUACAAUACUUGUAUCAGACCUUAUAAUUUAUAACAUCAUCACUUCAUCAUCCAUGUAGGAUGGUCUUUAUUGUGUGUGUGAUGCAUUUCAUUCUCUGGUAUGUAAGAACUAAAAGGGAAAUAGAUUAUCUACUGUAGUAUAGUAACCCAUAACCCAUAUCCUACUGUUUUCUGUAAACCAGAUUAUUCAUCCCAUGAAAAUCUCCAGUAUUAGAAACAAUAUAUAAAAUAAGAGGCUAAUCAAUUUGAAUGCAUAAUAAAAUUUUAAUUUCUGAAUGGCAUGACAUAAAAUCCAUGUAGAAUGUUUAGAUGGCAUGAUAUUUCUGAAUGGUUAAAUCUAUCUGUAUCUAUCUAUCAUCUGUCUAUAUCUAUCUAUCUGUUUAUCUAUAUAUCUAACAAUUUCAUUCUCGUAAUGGAACUUUGUUCAUUUAGACAGCUAACCAUUAAUUUUCAUGUUUCAGGGAACCAUAAGACAAAAUAAAGCAGAGAAAACAAAAUAUUUUAAUCCAUGAGUUUAGAUAUUCAGAUGGUCAAUUCAAAGUAAUGCUGAAGGAUCAUGGAACAGAAAGAAAUGCAUCCCGAAGACUAAACAAAUAAAUGAGGAUACUUCAAGGAGUUCGUGGAAAAGUAGAAAGGUUUAUUUUCGGUGUGAAAGUGCUGAAAUCCAAGCAUAGGUUGUAAUAAUGCCCGUUUUCUACAAACUUUCUGAAUAACGCUCAGAAAGAUAGGGUGCUUCUUGGGGAAAGGUGUAUUGGAAGCCGUCAAAUAAUCCCGGGUAGAGCACUGACGUUCAUGGGCAUUUGAGGGCCUGGAUUAUCCGCCUUUCCCUUUGGUUAAAGCACAGACAUCAUCAGGACUUGGAGAAGCACAAGCUGUGAGUGUGUCUUGCAGGGCUAAGCAGUUUUAAGUAGAUCAAUAUGGUUCCCAAAUAACAGAAUUGGCCUGUACAUCUUCUGGCAGCCCCACUAGUAAAUGAGUCACGAACAUGUUUCUAAAAAGGCUGUGAAGUUGAUAAAGGGAAUACUGAAUUCUACCUACAUUUCCUGAUGUUUGUACACCUGAUGGACUGGUGGAGCUAAGGAAUGCUGAAGUCUCUGCUUAGAUGGUCCUACUCCCUGCCCUGGCACAGAGCUUGAAACCUGAUGCAGCCUUGGGGAAAGUUACAAGGCACCCUAAUGUGAUUGGAGUGAUGCUUCUACUGCUGAGCUUAAUGGGGUUGCUAGGUAGAUGGUUUUGGAAAUAUGGAUUUAGGGGAUUCAGGUUCUGGCCUGUUACAGGAACAAGACUGAAGAUUCCCUGACAGCAUGGUAAGGAAGACACAGACAACUCAAAUGGAGCUCCAACAGUGGGGGGAACUGGAGAAAGAGAAAAGCAUCAGGCUGCCCCUCCUGGCCCGAGCCUGGGGCACCUGGGGCAGAAGCCCCAACUACAAUCAAAGUGCAAGUGCACCAUAGCAAUGAGCUUUUUUUAAACUCCCACUUUCAGGGGAAUGGCUAGGGAGGUGACAAGCAUAACUUCACAAAACAAGCUCUGAGUGGAGAAGGUCUCGUGAGAACAUAAAAGAGUUUCCAGGUGCCCAGAGUAUCCCAGAGAAGCAUAGGAUGCACACAGGUGGCAGGGUGAUUUAAGGCAGAACUUUGCUCUGUGGAGUUAAGGGAAAGCAUAGUAAUAUAUUUGAAAACAAACAUACUGGGCUUGACUUGAUGGUUUGCAAAGAGGAAUGAUGUAGCCUAAUUUGUGUGAGGCAUAUGUGAAAGCUCCAAGUGAACACAUCUCAGAGGAUGUUCAAGGGACAGCUAAUGACCCAGGCAAGGUGAACCUUCACACUUGGGCACUUAAUGUUCUUGAUCUAUGAACACGUCCUAGAGGUAAUGAAUGAGAGAAUGAGAUGAUGGUGAAUUGGCUAAGAUUAAGUUCUUCCACAGAUAGGCGUGUGGGCUCUAAAUAGAAAACUGGUUACACUUCUUGAUCACCCAAUGUUAUAGAAUGAGAUUUAUAAUGCUUUUUUAUUUUCAUGUCAUUUUAUUAUUUUCAAUGUGUAUUCUUUUAUUUUGAAUACACACGAGCAGCAGCAGGUGCAGCAAAAAAUAGUUUUUAUUUUAUCCACACUGUUGAAAUGAGGUGUUUAGAAUUAAGACCUACUGAAAUGAGGCAUUUUGAAUAUCUCUGAAAUUAGAGUUUCUAUUCUUUCUUCUGCAAAAUUAUAGGAUAUUCCAGUAGUCUGAAAACCUAUGUGGACAUUAAUGUCGUUUAGAUUUUUCUGAUUUAUGGUUAUUUCUGGUCAAGACAUUUAGGGAAAUAGUACAAUAAUGAAACAGGUAAACAAUGGAAAUCAAUCUUAAUUCUCAUUAUGUGACAUAGAAUAAAUUAUUAUAAUUUUGUUUGAAUUUUUUAUGAAAAAAAUUUUGUUUAUUUGGAAAGCAAGGUGGGUGAGAGAGCUACCAUCUGCUAGUUCAUGCCCUAAAAGGACCAGGAAAAGCCAUGAGUGAGGAACUCAAUCCCAGUCUUGCAUGUGGGUGGCAGGGACCCAAGUUCUUGAGCUCUUACUUGCUGCCUCACAGGAUGCACAUUAGCCGGAAGCUAAACUUAAGAGUAGAGCUCAGCCUGGAACCCAGGGACUCUCACAUGGGAUGCUAGAAUUCUAAACGUUGUGCUAGCCACAACGCCAAACACCUGCCGCCUCUUCCCAAGCUUUUUAAAGCUAUAAACAUGAAUCAUUUUAUCACAAGGAAUGCUAAUUCACCAUUUUGUGCUUUUAAAGCUUUUUUUCUCAAACCAAGGAGAUUUUAUGUAGACCUGAUUAAUAUUAACAUAAUUGUCACAAAAUGAAAUUGAUGCCUUGACAUACCUGUUGUAAAUUUAAAAGGCAGACAAAUGAAGUCAAACAAAAAUAAAUAUUUAUUUAACUGAAGACGUUCACCUGCAGAGGGCCAAAAAAGUUGCCAGUUAUUUAUAAAUAAACAUUUAAUGUUAUUUAUAAGUGAUUCCUAUAAUGUACCUACUAGUUUACAGCAUGCAAUAAUGAAUAAUUUUCAGGAAUUAUUUAAGGUGUUAUUCUAGUAAUCAUUGACGAUCAUGGAUUAUUUUAGAUAAUUUUUGAAAAUCAAUACUUUGCAUAUGUCUGAAUUUCAACUCACUGUUCAUUAUAUGAAUUUUAUUUUCAUGUUCUGAGUUGUCUUUUAACAAAGUCAUAAAUUUUUGUACUGUUGUUCCAGUUAUGCUUUCGUUGAGCUGUGUUUUAAAAAUGCAUGUUCAAAUAAAUUUCCUUCUUUUAAUUGUCCCAUGUAAUGAUGUUUCUAUAAAAGAUACCAUUUUAAAAUGGGCUGCCUAUUACUUCUCUGCCUAAUUUCUUUUCAUUCGGCUUAGCUGACGAGAGCAUAAUUUUGAAUUUCAUGACUACUAGUUGGUUUAUUUCAGUUGGAGGCUAAAUUUACAAGAACGUAUGGAAACUCAAGGAAAUUCACAUCAUUCAAUUACUUGAUUCUCCCAACAGCAGCAAACUCCUCCUGAGAGAGGCUCUGUGCGUAUAAGUGCUAAA